AUGGGAAACUUCUCAUCACAGUUUAUAUCAGACACAUAUCAUUUGUCCAAACCUUCCUCGGCUGUUGCCACAGACCUUUACCACUUGCAUUACCGCAGGCGCACCACGGACCGCUCAAGUCCCAGCUGUACGUCGCCAGCCAUCUGCAGGCUUUUCACGCAGUUUGUGGGACCAGACGGAAGGAGAGCGUGAGGUGAAACGCCAACACCCGUGAGCGAGCUCAUCUUCGCCCAGUCAGACGAGUGGCAAGAAAAGCAAGAAGCUGUAAAGGUGUUGGUUGGUCUUGCGGCCACCAGCAGCCAUGGGGCUGGGAGGGAAAUGCUGAGUGAGUGCCGGUGAUGAGUGACUCCACGGGCUUCUGGUUUAGGAUUCGUAGCUGUGAGCCUGAGAUGCUGGAACACCUUUUUUAAAAAACCAAGCACUAAAAAAAUAAAAAAUAAAAAAUAAAAAUAAAAAAAAUCCAAGCACACAUUUAACAAAGAAAAUGACAGAUAUUUUACUAAUCCAGAACCCCAGCAAUUGAAAGUCAUCUGCCCUCGUUUGAACCUCAGUCAAUAAUCUCUCAAAUCGACGUCAUUUUUAUUUUAAGAAUUUGGCCUUGAUUUUCUUUGCAUGGAGGGUUCGGGGGGAGGGGGGAGACAGUAAAAGUCUUAAGGCCGUAAUGAUCAAGUUCUCAGGGGAACUGGUAAUUCUUGGUGGAGUUGGAGCCUACGACAGCUGUGUGUCCUUGGGCAGGUUGCUUGGCUUCUCUGUGCCUUAGCCUGUCCACUAGGAAAGGGGUGCACAGAACCUAGUCACAGAGUUCUUUUGAAGAGGCCGUGGGCAGGUUCCCGGCAUCAAACGCUGCUGCGAUCAGUUCUCAUUAGCUGCUCGUGAAUACUUUUAUUAGUGUGAAAAUGUGGGUGUGAAAGCGAACACACCAGCCCCGGGAGAGGAGUGGGGACGGCGUGUGGUAGGGCCUGGGUGGCAGGGGAGGGGCCUGACUGACCUCUGCUGACUGGUUUCCUCGCGGCCUGUUCCUCCCUAACACUAAAUGUCACCCCAUUGUUCACGUUGACAUGGUUGCUUGUACUUGACAUGAAUUCCACAUCAAUGAAGAGAAAUCUUGGCUGGGGAAAAAAAAAAAAAAACUUGGAACAUGUAUCUUCUCCACCUUGAAUCCUCCAGAGGCUUCCUGAAGCCAACCCAGACCCCCUGCACCUCCCACCCACAAAUGGGCCACCUGCGUGUGCACCCUGUGCCCAGGGAGGGAGCCCCAGAGAAGCCCAAGGGACCCGGGCAUGAAAGAAUUGGAGAUUAAAAGUCUUCUGAGUGGACAUCAUGGCAAGGGGGCGGAUGCGGACAUUUUUUUAAACUUGGAGUAAUUUGGCAGAAAGACACCAUAGGUCUUUCAGUUCCCAGAGCUAGAGUUGCCAGAUUUAGCAAAUAAAAAUACAGGACAUCUGUUAAAUUUCAGAUAAACAAUGAAUUAUUUUUGUAUGUGUCCCAAAUAUCGCCUGGGACAUACUUAUACUACAAACUUCUGUGCCCUGUAUUUUAUCUGACUACCUACCCUGGCGCAGGGCUUCACCUCGACAAGGCUUGGGAGGACACGGCCCUGCAUCCCUUCCUAGCCUAGCCUCUUCCCACAUUGUCUCCAACUCUGCAGGCCCUCGUCCUGGGGCUGGGGGGGGGGGCAGAUUUCUAGUGCUGAGAACAGUUAAGCUCUUUCCUGCCCCAGGGCCUUUGCACUGAGCCUCCUAUAUUCCUGGAACCCUCCUCCUCCCCAUGUGUGGCUCCUCAUCCGCACCAAUGAGGGUCACCUUAAAUGUCCUGCGCUAAAGAGGCGUCUCCUGGCCAAUUUGAUUCUGUCCUUGGUCUCCCUGUUAUUUUGUAUCUCAGCCCCCUAUUCAUAAUUCCUUCAGAGCACACAUCCCAUUCGUAAUCAUUUUGUCCAUUGACUCUUUAUUUUUUAUCUAUGUAUCACUCACUGCCCCCCACGUGGACAGCAGCCGCACUGAUUCUCCUGGUUCUCCACGCUCCGUCUUGCACGCACUCACCCAAGAAAUGCACAG
rnacentral:lncRNA from 1 species